UAUUUUCAUUUUAUAUUUUUAUUUUAUAUUUUCAUUUUAUAUUUUUAUUUUAUAUUUUAAUCUCAUCUGAGUUUGAUGCAGCACCGUCAGUACUGGAUUGACGUGAAGAUAAGUUACAUAGCUACUAGUAUAAGCAACACGAUAUAGACAUAGAUCACAGAGGACGAAUGACUACACCGUAUUCAUUAUUGAUAAUGCUUGCCGCCAUCAAUAUUUCGUUACACUGUCAGACGUGGUCAAACUGAAUUGCUAAAACGCUACAGAUAGUGAAUAGAGUAUACGUUGUCAACGGAAACAAACUCUCAAAAGUUGAGAUUGACUUAUUUGAUUUGAAAAAAGACAAAUAUAGGUGGGCAUACCACUUGAACAAAUUUUACCGAAAAAGCUAAAAAAGGAUGAGAGUCAUCUGUUUAAUUUCAAUCAGAUAUUAUAAGAAUAACCAAUCAACUAGAUAAUUCGUUGACAAGCUUGAAAUGGAGUAACUCGGGUGUUUUCAAGAGGACAUUAACUCCUAAAGAGAACGAAAUACGGCACUAGGAUUGUUUGUGAUGAAAAAAAGAAACUAGUUUAGAAUUUCUCUUUAUACUUAAAAAAUCAGACAAGUUUAUGUUUAGUCUUCCAAGUGCUCAACAAUUUUUCAGAUACAUUUUUCCAACAUUUAUAGUCAUUUAAUCUGUACGUACUGAGUCAUGAUUUUUAAACAAUGGUCUUUUUCGGUUUUCUUUAACAAGCAAUACUGUUGAAAUUCAUAUACACACUAAAAUAUAAGCUUUGUUUUUAAUCGGUACAUGUCGACUUAUAUUGAUAAAUAUCAAACGAAUUAUAGCUGCAUUCAUUAAGAAGUACUCCUUAAUCUCUUUAGCAGUGGACAUUUUGAGAUUGUUAAAAGAAUGUUUGCAGCAAGUCAGUCGAUGUUAAAUGUAUCGUCAAAUAUGAAUGCAUAUAGAGAUCACAGGUAAAUAGACAUAAAUAAAUAAAUUUUGCAAAGUCCUUUGAUCUUCUUUAGAUUCAAAACUUGAUUAUGUUGUUGAAUCACAUAUAUGAUAAGGUCUUUGGCCGGAAUCACGUCUUUUUUUUCUGAGUUAAUAAGAUAGACCUAUCCUUAAUAUAGUCCACUUCUAUUAUGAAGAAUGCAUAUGUUAUAUGGUCUUUGGUGGGGUUGUUAUCUUUUUGACAAAUUCCCGAUUUCUAUUCUCAAUUUCAUAUCGUCAGGAUAUCAUGGAAGUUCAUACGAAAUUGUUUGUUUGCGUCGUUUGCUCUUUUUAUAUUGUUUGCGUUAUCAAAAAAAAAUAUCUUUGGGCCUAUAUAUUUGUAUCCAUACUAUUAUUUUACACCAAUACAAAUAGUGUAUACAUGUUAAACCUAUAAACCUAUAUAUAUCUAUCUUUAAUAUAUAGUUUGAUAUGU